GGUCAAGAUAGAAAGGGCUGACGGUGGAUACCUAGNNCCACAGAG
rnacentral:rRNA from 1 species